CGGGAAAGUAAUACAGUGCCUCCUAGUGGUCAGAAUACACUCAACCUGUAACAUCUAUUAUUGAACACAACAAAUUGCAUGGUAUGAAACGGGAAUGAACUAUUUUUUCUUGAUAAAAUCAUUGUUUUCAUAGAACUUACGACCAGAGAUGUUUGCUUAACAACGGUGCGACUAGAACUACAAACCAGAGUGUCUGCAUAAGGACGGUCCAAUUAGAACUACGAAGCAGAGUUUUGCUUGACAACGGCAACCCUGUACUUUGAGUAUUUUUUGUUGCAGCUGGCUAGAGUGUCGCCGGAUUGUGCAGUACACAAGUCUUGUACAGUAUCCAGUCUUCUGGGCCAUGUAACAGUAGGAACAGAGACGAGACUAACGGCAACCAAUGAACAAGUUGAGGAUGUUUCAGUGUUGGAGGGGGAUUUGACUGACGACGUAACGU